rnacentral:snRNA from 1 species
AGCUUUGCGCAGUGGCAGUAUCGUAGCCAAUGAGGUUUAUCCGAGGCGCGAUUAUUGCUAAUUGAAACUUAAAACUAAAAUUAUUUAAAAUAUGUAUUUGUUAAUUCACUUAAACGUA